rnacentral:RNase_P_RNA from 1 species
CAAGCCGGCCGGACGGCCGCGGGCGCUCGUCGUCCGAGGAAAGUCCGGGCUCCACAGAGCAGGGCGCUGGGCAAUACCCAGUCGGGGUGACCCGAAGGAGAGUGCCACAGAAAUGACACAGCCGCGGUGAGAGCCGCGGCAACGGUGAAAUGGUGGGGUAAGAGCCCACCGGCGGCCGGGUGACCGGCCGGCCAGGUAAACCCCGUCCGGAGCAAGGCCGAACAGGGACGAGCGGCUCGCCGCUCAGGGGCUGCUCGCCCCGUGUCCCGGGUCGGGCCGCUGGAGGCGCCGGGCAAUCGGCGUCGUAGAUGGAUGGCCGUCCCCCGCCGCCGGGGAGCGGCGACCUCGGGGUCGUCAACGAAGCGGUGGGGACAGAACCCGGCUUACAGGCCGGCUUGCACG